ACGAACGCUGGCGGCGUGCUUAACACAUGCAAGUCGAACGGGUCUGCCCUGUUUUUUGCGGGGUGGGUCAGUGGCGAACGGGUGAGUAACACGUGAGUAACCUGCCCCUCACUUCUGGAUAACCGCUUGAAAGGGUGGCUAAUACGGGGUGUUCUGGCUGUGCCGCAUGGUGUGGCUGGGAAAGAUUCACUUUUGUGGUGUUUUGGUGGGGGAUGGGCUCGCGGCCUAUCAGCUUGUUGGUGGGGUGAUGGCCUGCCAAGGCUUUGACGGGUAGCCGGCCUGAGAGGGUGGGCGGUCACACUGGGACUGAGAUACGGCCCAGACUCCUGCGGGAGGCAGCAGUGGGGGGUAUUGCACAAUGGGCGGAAGCCUGAUGCAGCGACGUCGCGUGAGGGAUGGAGGCCUGCGGGUUGUGAACCUCUUUCGCCGGUGAAGAAGGUCCUGCUCUUUGUGGUGGGGUUGACGGUAGCCGGGUUAUGAAGCGCCGGCUAACUACGUG
rnacentral:rRNA from 1 species